rnacentral:misc_RNA from 1 species
AACUGAUACUACCUGCGGGAACCUGCGGAGGGAUCAUUAUCGAGUUUACAACUCCCAAACCAUUGUGAAUCUUACCUUUUCGUUGCUUCGGCGGGAUCGCCCCGGGCGCUUCGGUGCCCCGGAUUCAGGCGCCCGCCGGGGGACCUAAACUCUUGUAUUAUAGUGGAUUUCUGAGUGGAUUACACAAAUAAUCAAAACUUUUAACAACGGAUCUCU